GCACCCUUAGCUCAGUUGGAUUAGAGCAUUUGACUACGGAUCAGAAGGUCGGGCGUUCGAGCCGCUCAGGGUGCA
rnacentral:tRNA from 1 species